CCCAAUCCUACAUCCCGUAUGCAUCAAGAUAUCAAUUCUUAUUCUCUUUAUUUUCAAUAAACCCGUGGGCCGAUGUCAAAUCUAGUUACUGCUAUCACAAACACAAAAUUAAUAAAAACAAAUAGAGUCAAUUACGUAUUUAAAACAUACAAUAAAAAUAGUAAACUAAAGGAAAUAAGAGGAACAUACAAGAUAAACUAGAACAACAAUCUAUACUUUUCAGUUAAGCCACAAAUAAACAUGUAACAUAGUAAAAUUAAAAAGGAUACGAGUAAGAAUAAACCUCAGUUAAACAAUUGAUGUAAACCAAUACAGUGAUAAACCCAGUCAGUUGACCCCAAAUCCAGAAAACCAGAGGCUGUAGAGACCCAAACCAGAAAAACCAAGCUUUAGACCGGAAUACUCGAACGAACCAAAAUCUCCACCGGAAAAACUCAAAUGAUUAUGCUGGUACAAGAUCGGUUCAACAAUGGCAACGAAAAAAACCCGCUGGAUUUUUUCUAAAAGAAGACAGAAGAUGAAGGAGAUGGAGACCAGAUCUCAAGGUUUCAAAAGAGGCGUCGGAUCUGAAGGUUUUGCCACUGUUAAUCCCCAUUUCAGGUGAGACUUACCAUUUCCGAUGUGAUUCCAUUAUCCUAUCUACAAAUCUAUGAGAACAAGUUAAGGAAGGAAGUGUUAGGAAGAGAGGUCAUGGGUGGACGACCAGAGGGAAAGGGUGGGGGGUUCUGCCGGCAUUCAUGGCUGGUUUGGUUGAAGUGUGGUGCGGCUAUGUUUGUGUUCAAGAGAGCAGGGGUCGUUGGUAAUUUUUUUUGUUCUAAGUUUAGAGAGCCAAAUCAAUGGGAACGGUUGUCCUCUCUUUUUGCAUUAGUGUUCAAGCUGCUGCUUCUCUAAGCUGAAGAUAGGAUCGACGGCUACUGGUGAAGUGGUCUUGUGAAAAUAAAGCCGAGACAGUCUGAUGGGGGGUCCUUUUUGGUGUUUUGCCGCUGUUAUUUUUUUGUUCUCUAGGUUUCUUUAAGAAGAAGAAGGCUUAGGAUCUUUAGGGUGUUGGGUUUGAUGGUUUAAGGAACAGGGUUAUUCGAAGUGGGCUCUAGAAUUGGGCUGGAUGAGUACUUAAAUUCAAGAGAGACAAAUCAAUAAGCCCAAGCUUAAUUCUUUCUAUUUUCUAAGAAGUAAAAACCUAUAAACUUACUAGUUAGCCUUAGCUUAUGUGCCAAAAUGGGGAUAAAAUUAGCAAUUCUUUUUGUAUUUUCAAAGAUUAUACUAAAAAUAAGAAUAUAAAAAUCGUGGCAAACUUAAGAUAAUACUACUAUAAAAAUACUAAUGUUCUUGAAAAAGAUAUGUAAUGAAGUAAAAAAACAAAGUGCAGCUAUUUUUUUUUGUGUGUUCAAAUUUAAUUUUAUGAAAAGUAGAUAAACUAAAAGUAACAAGAUAAAAUAUUAAUUACCUAAAUAAAAGAAAAUAUUUUUGUAGUUUUUAUUUUUGUGAUAAAAUGAAGUAAAAGAGUCUAAACUAAUUAAAAUGAUGAUAUUAGGCCUAAAAUAAAUAUUUAAAUGCUAAAAUAUGUAAAAUCUUUGGGAGGGUCAAAAAUCACAUGUCUACAAAGAUCAGCCUCAUUGAAGAAGAAAUUAUGAAAAUUUGGCUUGCAAGUAAGGUCUCGGAGUUGAAUGAGAUGGUAGAAGACUGAGAUCAUGGAUAGGUGAUCACUGAAUAUAUUACCUGGUGUUACGACCCUUCAUCAUUUAGACAUAGGCUUGAGGGCUCGAACAAGAGGGGAAAUGAUCAAAGAACUAUAGAAAUGCUAAAGGAGGAAUUGGAGCAUGCUCAUAUGACCAUAGCAAAACAACAAGCCCAGCAGCAAGCCGGAGUCACUCGGAUUCGUUUAAAUAUUGAUAAAGAUUAUCAAUCUACCUUAUGGGUCAUGGAUAAAGAUCUAAAGCAGGCUAAAAAUGAGGCAACCCUCUAUAACGACCCGGUCGGUCGUUUCAUGAGUUACCGCUCCGUUUCCUUCCAUUUCUACUUCUUUAUAUGUUGUUCAGUUAUAUUUAAUCGCAUCGUGAUGGUUAGUUUGGGUUCGGAGUGGUUUUGUAGAGAAAUGAGACACUUAGUCUCUUUUGAGUACGCUUAAGUUGGAAAAGUCAACAAGGUGUUGACUUAUGUGAAAAAGGUCUCAGAUGUGAAUUCUGAUGGUUCGGAUAGCUUUGUUAGGUGAUUUGAGACUUAGGAGCAUGAUUGAAAUGUAUUUUAGAGGUCCGGAGUAGAUUUAGGCUUGAAUUGGCGAAAUUGAAAUUUUGGCGUUUUCUGGUUGGUAGUGGAGAUUUUGAUAUCGGGGUCGGAAUGGAAUUCCAGAAGUUAGAGUAGGUCCGUUGUGUCAUUUAGGACGUAUGUGUAAUUUCAGGUCAUUCGGGCGAGGUUUGAUAAAGUUUUUGAUCGAAAGCAAGAAUUUGGAAGUUUUGGAAUUUCUUAGGCUUGAAUCCGAUGAUGAUUUGAUAUUUUUAUGUUGUUUUGGGCGUUCCGAAGCUUGGAACGAGUUUGAAUGAUGUUAUGACAUGUGUUGGCAUGUUUAGUUGAGGUCUGGAGGGCCUCGGGUGAGUUUCGGGUGGUUAAACUGAUCAAAUUCUUGUUUUGGAAAUUGCAGAUUUCUUCAGUUCUGUGUUGCAGGGAUUUGGCCUUCGUGUUUGUGAGAGGGAUCUCGCAUUCGCUAAGAGAUGUGAAGUGAGUCAGGAGAAUUUCCCUUCGCAUUCGCGAUGUUGUUUCCGCAUUCGCGAAGGGUGAGGCUGAGUGUGCAUCGCGAACGCAAUGUAGGUCCCGCGUUCGCAUAGAGUAAUUGGAGUAGCUGGGGGCCUGGUAGUUUGUUCUUCGCGAACGUGGUCAAAUCCUCGCGUUCGCGAAGGCCUAGGAAGAUGAAGCUUCGCGUUCACGAGAUAGAAGUCGCAUUCGCGUAAGAGGAUUAAUUGGUCAAUGGAAUUUUGUGCUUCGCGAAUGCGAGGAUUGGACCGCGUUCGCGAAGAAGGAAUAUUUGCCUGGGCAGAAUGUUUAAAAAGUGGCCUUCGCGAUUUUUGGUCUAUUUCCACCAUUAUUGAGCGAUUUUCGAACUUUUUGAGAAGGAUUGAAGAGGGAAUCGAAGGGAAACACUUGUAGGUAAGCUUUUUGAACUCAAUACUCGAUACUAUGAUGAUUUCUACCUCAUUAGACAUGAAAUUUAUGGAAUUUAAAGCCUAAAAUUGGGAAUUAGGGCUUGAAAUAGAGACCUUGAUUUAGGGAUUUGAGAGGUCGUUUGUGGUUAGAUUUUCAUGUGUUUGAUAUGUAUGAACUCCUGAGGGUGUAAGGAUUCUAGUUUAAUGAUUUUUAUCGGUAUCCGAGACGUGGGCCCGGAGGUCGGGUUUGGCCAAUUUCAGGAUUCUUGGUGUAAAUUGGUUAUUUUCGAGUGGGCUUUGUUCCCUUACAAUAUUUUGAUGGUAUGAAUCUGUUUUUGGUUUGAUUUGGAGCAUCCGGAAGCUGAGUCGAGAGGCAAAGGCAUCGCGAGCUAGAGUUUGGACCGGAUUGAGAUAGCUAAUGAUUGUAAAUGUUGUCUUGAGGGUAUGACACCCCAAAUUUCACAUCAUUAUGCUACUUUGAGAUGACGCACACGUUAUAUGUCGAGUGUGGGGUCUUGCACCGUUGGGGAUUGUGACUUGGUCUGUCCCGUACAACUAUUAAGUCGCGUAUUUGAUUGAAAAUUGUUUGAUAUCAUUGUGUUUUAGAAAGUAUUACUAUGUUUUUGACUAAAUGUCAUAUUUGAGCCUCGUGCUGACUGUUUUGGACCCUUAGGGGAUUUUUACAACUAUUCCUCACUGUUUUAACUUCAUAUUUUUAAUCAGUCAUGUUAUAUUCUACUAAUGUCAUAACUCAGCCGUAUUUACUUCUAAAUGAUAUUUCAGGUUGAGCAUCAUGUUUUACUGUUGCCCGAGGGGUUUGAGAGAUUUCUGACUGAGUGAGGCUGAGGGCCUGUGUUGUGAGGAUUAUUAUGGGAUCGGGCUGCAUGCCAUAACAUGUGUACUGAUUUGUGAUAUAUGAGAGGCCGAGGGCCUGAUUUGGUAUGCUAGGAGAUGGCUUGUGAUAGUGCUUGGGCUGUAGGAGCCCCUCCGGAGUCCGAACACCCCAGUGAGUGCGGGUACCCAGUGUGAGAUGUGAUAUUGCCCGAGGGGCUGUUGUUGUGUCAUGUUAUAGCUCGAGGGGCUGAUUCUGUUGAUAUUUUACCCGAGGGGCAGUUGUGGUACAUGUUUUGCUUAAGGGGAUGUUUACGUUUCUAUCCUUUUACUCACUAUUUUCACCACUCGUUUGAAACUAUUGAAAGAUGUUUUAAAAGGUUUUACUGAACUUAGUUGUUUUAACGAGUUUUAUUGCUUUACUACAUUGUUCUGGAC
rnacentral:lncRNA from 1 species